GAUGAACGCUGGCGGCGUGCCUAACACAUGCAAGUCGAACGGAGAUUACGGACGGAAGUGUUCGGCUGGAAGGCCGUAAUUCUUAGUGGCGGACGGGUGAGCAACCCUUGGGUAACCUGCCCCAUACAGGGAGUGAGCAUCUUGCAACGGCUGGUAAGACCGCACAUGGCGGUUAAAUCGCAUUAUCUGAUCGGGAGUUGGGCAAUCGGGCAUAUGAUGUGCCCGUGUCCGAUUGGCCAGUUGGCAGGGUAAAAGCCUACCAAGGCGAGGAGCGUUAGCCGGGCUGGGGGGUCGGACGGUUACGUUGGGGCUGAGGCCCGGCCCAAACUCCUACGGGGGGCAGCAGUAGGUGGUAUUACAGAAUGGAGGCAACUCUGAUGCCGCGGCGCCGCGUGAGUGAAGAAGUAUUUCGGUAUGUAAAGCUCUAUCAGCAGGGGAGAUGAUGACGGUACCUGACUAAGAAGCCCCGGCUAACUACGUG
rnacentral:rRNA from 1 species